GAUUCGGCGAUUAUCCUGCGGAAUAUAAUCCGAAAGUUCACGGACCCUACGAUCCUGCUCGCUACUACGGCAAACC
rnacentral:lncRNA from 1 species